rnacentral:SRP_RNA from 1 species
GCAGGGAAGCCGGGCGGCAGGGACGCUGCCAACCCCGUCAGGCCUGAAAAGGAGCAGCGGUAACAGUUGUUUCUGGGUGCCUGGUUUCCCUGAAAG